rnacentral:rRNA from 1 species
GUGGGGAAUAUUGGACAAUGGGCGCAAGCCUGAUCCAGCCAUGCCGCGUGAGUGAUGAAGGCCCUAGGGUUGUAAAGCUCUUUCAACGGUGAAGAUAAUGACGGUAACCGUAGAAGAAGCCCCGGCUAACUUCGUGCCAGCAGCCGCGGUAAUACGAAGGGGGCUAGCGUUGUUCGGAAUUACUGGGCGUAAAGCGCACGUAGGCGGAUCGAUCAGUUAGGGGUGAAAUCCCGGGGCUCAACCCCGGAACUGCCUCUAAUACUGUCGAUCUCGAGUUCGAGAGAGGUGAGUGGAAUUCCGAGUGUAGAGGUGAAAUUCGUAGAUAUUCGGAGGAACACCAGUGGCGAAGGCGGCUCACUGGCUCGAUACUGACGCUGAGGUGCGAAAGCGUGGGGAGCAAACAGGAUUAGAAACCCGUGUAGUCC